rnacentral:rRNA from 1 species
UGCAGUCGAGCGGAAUUUUAUUGGUGCUUGCACCUUUAAAAUUUUAGCGGCGGACGGGUGAGUAACACGUGGGUAACCUACCUUAUAGAUUGGGAUAACUCCGGGAAACCGGGGCUAAUACCGAAUAACACUUUUUAACACAUGUUUGAAAGUUGAAAGACGGUUUUGCUGUCACUAUAAGAUGGACCCGCGGCGCAUUAGCUAGUUGGUGAGGUAACGGCUCACCAAGGCAACGAUGCGUAGCCGACCUGAGAGGGUGAUCGGCCACACUGGGACUGAGACACGGCCCAGACUCCUACAGGAGGCAGCAGUAGGGAAUCUUCCACAAUGGACGAAAGUCUGAUGGAGCAACGCCGCGUGAGUGAAGAAGGAUUUCGGUUCGUAAAACUCUGUUGCAAGGGAAGAACAAGUAGCGUAGUAACUGGCGCUACCUUGACGGUACCUUGUUAGAAAGCCACGGCUAACUACGUGCCAGCAGCCGCGGUAAUACGUAGGUGGCAAGCGUUGUCCGGAAUUAUUGGGCGUAAAGCGCGCGCAGGUGGUUCCUUAAGUCUGAUGUGAAAGCCCCCGGCUCAACCGGGGAGGGUCAUUGGAAACUGGAGAACUUGAGUGCAGAAGAGGAUAGUGGAAUUCCAAGUGUAGCGAUGAAAUGCGUAGAGAUUUGGAGGAACACCAGUGGCGAAGGCGACUGUCUGGUCUGUAACUGACACUGAGGCGCGAAAGCGUGGGGAGCAAACAGGAUUAGAUACCCUGGUAGUCCACGCCGUAAACGAUGAGUGCUAAGUGUUGGGGGGUUUCCGCCCCUCAGUGCUGCAGCUAACGCAUUAAGCACUCCGCCUGGGGAGUACGGUCGCAAGACUGAAACUCAAAGGAAUUGACGGGGGCCCGCACAAUCGGUGGAGCAUGUGGUUUAAUUCGAAGCAACGCGAAGAACCUUACCAGGUCUUGACAUCCCGGUGACCACUAUGGAAACAUAGUUUCCCCUUCCGGGGCAACGCUUACGGGUGGUGCAUGGUUGUCUCCAGUCCGGUCGGAGAUGUUGGGUUAAGUCCCCCAACAAGCACAUCCUUAUUCUUAUUGCCAUCAUUCCUUGGGCAUCUAAGGAAACUGCCGGUAAAAACCGGAAGAAGGGGGGGAUGACUUCAAUCAUCAGGCCCUUUAGACUGGGCUACAACUGCUAAAUGGACGAACAACGGUUGCAACCCGGAGGGGAACUAUCCGAAAAACUUUUCCC